UGCCUAUGAUGAUACCUUUUAAGGCUUGUUUCUCAAAACAUUCGCAGUGGCCGCCUAAGUGCUUUCGCCUACGCCAGGCUUUGAGAGUGCAUGCUGCUUUUAUCCUUCCUUGGAUGUCUGAGGCU
rnacentral:snoRNA from 1 species